AUAAUUAGUUAAUUAAUUUAAUUUAAUAUUUUUAGAUAAUCUAGAAUAUCUAAUUUGAAAAAAAAAGAAUAAAAAAAAGGAGUUUAUUUAAUUGGUUUUGAAACCUGGGCCAUUUUAAAAGCCUAAAUCGGCCAAUAUAAAUGACACCAAAAUUUGUCCAACCCAAACCCAAUCUCCCUAUCCAAAUACUCGUUACCUUUUACUUUACCGCUACAUAUAACAAACACAAUUUAAAAACCCAAAAAGAGGAGAUUCCUUCCCCAUUCUAGAAUGGACGCAUCUUUUCCCUUUUCUUCACUACAAGAAAUGAGAAUCCUUCCUUGAAAAGAACCAGAGAAAAACCGUAAAUCCACUUAAUGUUGAGCUGCCAACUCUAUCGAUCCUCUUCUUGAAACAACAGCUUUGGUUGUCUCCUACAGAUGGACCCAUUUGGUUCUUGACAUGUCGGAAGAGAACCCACUACUACUUGUUUCAAUGUAGAAGAUGGCAACAUUUAGCCGAUGAGAGCUUUUUUCCGGCGAGUUCGCAGUCUUCCAUUUAGUAGAUAAUAGUUUGUUCUUGAGUAGGGUUAGUUGGAUUAUUUGAAAAAAUUUGGGUAUCUGAAGCUUGUGUUCUUGCUGCAUUAUUUGUUGUUGAAUGGUUCCGGAUUUCUCUCCUUUGUUAUCACAGCUGUUGAUGUAUUUAUCUCAAUUCAAGAAAUGUAAUUACUGAUUUUUCUUCUCUAUACUAAAGAUUAUUGUCGAAAUAUGUUGACUGAACCGAAAGAACAGUAUUUACUUUCUCUAGUCUACUUAGCGUCUAUUCGGUUCCGUCAGUUCGCAAAUAGUCUUGUUAAGUUGGCUCAAUUUUUGAAUAUGACUGGUUUGUUGUAUCGGAAUUGCAACUUGAGAAUGUUUGU
rnacentral:lncRNA from 1 species